rnacentral:rRNA from 14 species
CUGGUUCUCCCCGAAAUGCAUUUAGGUGCAGCGUUGUGUGGUUCGUGUCGGAGGUAGAGCACUGGAUGGUCUAGGGGGCUUAUCGGCUUACCGAAAUCAGCCAAACUCCGAAUGCUGGCAAGUGUAGCGUGGCAGUGAGACGGCGGGGGAUAAGCUUCGUCGUCGAGAGGGAAACAGCCCAGAUCAUCAGCUAAGGCCCCUAAGUGGUGACUCAGUGGGAAAGGAUGUGGAGUUGCGUAGACAACCAGGAGGUUGGCUUGGAAGCAGCCAUCCUUGAAAGAGUGCGUAAUAGCUCACUGGUCAAGUGAUUCCGCGCCGAUAAUGUAGCGGGGCUUAAGUUAUCCGCCGAAGCUGUGGCAACCUGUGUGGUUGGGUAGGGGAGCGUCGUGUCAGUGGUGAAGCUGCCGGGUGACUGUGUGGUGGAGUUGAUGCGAGUGAGAAUGCAGGCAUGAGUAGCGUGUGACGGGUGGGAAUCCCGUCCGCCGAUUAUCCAAGGGUUCCAGGGUCAAGUUUGUCUGCCCUGGGUGAGUCGGGUCCUAAGGCGAGGCCGACAGGCGUAGUCGAUGGAUAACCAGUUGAUAUUCUGGUACCGGCUUGUCACCGUCCGUGUCGAGGUGUGUGAUGCUAAGCAUGUGAGCUUGUCUUGGGAGUGUUUUUGAUGCUUCUGGGGUGGGUGAGUGUGUGAACCGAUCAUGUAGUAGGCAAGCUGCGGAGGGACGCAGUGAGGUAGCUCAUCCCCGGUGAUGGUUGUCCGGGGCUAAGUGUGUGGACUGUCUGGUAGGUAAAUCCGCUGGGCGUGAAGGUUGAGGCAUGAUGGGGAGCCCACGGUUGUGGGUGAGUGAGUGAUCCUGUACUGUCGAGAAAAGCUUCGUGAGCGAGGUGGCGGGUCCGCCCGUACCCUAAACCGACACUGGUGGAUUGGUAGAGUAUACCGAGGCGAUCGAGUGAAUCGUGGUGAAGGAACUCGGCAAAAUGCCCCCGUAACUUUGGGAUAAGGGGGACCUGAGCUGUCGUGCACCCGUGCGGUGUGGUGGCGGUGAGGGGCGCAGAGUCCAGGGGGAAACGACUGUUUACCAAAAACACAGGUCCGUGCGAAGUCGUAAGACGAUGUAUACGGACUGACUCCUGCCCGGUGCUGGAAGGUUAAGGGGAACUGUGAGUGUAUGCGUAGCGGUGAACUUAAGCCCCAGUAAACGGCGGUGGUAACUAUAACCAUCCUAAGGUAGCGAAAUUCCUUGUCGGGUAAGUUCC